rnacentral:rRNA from 1 species
UACGGGGGGUGCAAGCGUUGUUCGGAUUUACUGGGCGUAAAGGGCGUGUAGGCGGAUACGCAAGCCGGAGGUGAAAUCCCUGGGCUCAACCCGGGACGUGCUUUCGGAACUACGUGUCUUGAGACAGGCAGAGGCAGGUGGAAUUCCAGGUGUAGAGGUGAAAUUCGUAGAGAUCUGGAGGAACACCGGCGGCGAAGGCGGCCUGCUGGGCCUUGUCUGACGCUGAGGCGCGAAAGCGUGGGGAGCAAACAGG